UGGUUGUCCAGGCAAAUCCGGAUAAUCAAGGCUGAGGUGUGAUGACGAGGCACUACGGUGCUGAAGUAACAAAUGCCCUGCUUCCAGGAAAAGCCUCUAAGCAUCAGGUAACAUCAAAUCGUACCCCAAACCGACACAGGUGGUCAGGUAGAGAAUACCAAGGCGCUUGAGAGAACUCGGGUGAAGGAACUAGGCAAAAUGGUGCCGUAACUUCGGGAGAAGGCACGCUGGUGUGUAGGUGAAGUCCCUGCGGAUGGAGCUGAGA
rnacentral:rRNA from 1 species